GCAUUAGUAGCUCAGCGUUAGAGCGCCGGUCUUGUAAGCCGGACAUCGGAGGUUAAAAUCCCCCCUAUUGCU
rnacentral:tRNA from 1 species